CUAACUAACUCAGCUGGAUUUGCACCCUCCAGGAGAUCCACCUGCUAUGACCUCUGCUAGUGCAUAUACCUUCCAGCUGCCAUAGGAGAUAACUUCCUUCCUCUGCGUUUCUUAGGAAUGUGAUGACCCCCAAACAGAGCAUCUAUGCUGAUAGUCACCAUCAAUGAAAACUGAAAGAUCUGGUGUGGCAACUCCCAGUCUGUAGCACCAGAGGGUCAACUUCCCUAGACCCUUCCUUCCCCUAUAACCCACUGGCCUAUAUAACUGCUUCAAGAUCCCGUGCCCCCCUUAAGAUGGUUCUUUUGGACAUUAGUCGGCCACCUUCCCUCUUGCUAGCAGGCUGUAAUAAAAUGCCCUUUCUCCGCCACCAUCUUGCCUCUUGAGGAUUGGCUUCUGUCUCCCUGUGAGCAGAUUGUGCCCUUUGUGCCUAGCACUUUGAGCCAUUUAAGGGAGGCUCGGCUAAGCUGGGAUGCUGGGCACGUUAGACGUAUGAACUACACGCUCUGAAUAUCUUAGGCUAUUCUCCAUUUACCGUGGGUUCACCCUGACCUAACUCCAUCCUAAACCGGGGGAGAUCCGUACAACAGGGAAGUGUGCCAGCGAGUUAAACGCUGGGCUCGCGGGCCAUUCUCAAGCCCGGCUGUCCUCUGAGAAGCAGGCCCGCACGGAAAGGCUGCUACGGCCCUGAGAGCGAGCCCGCCCGGGCAGCUCCGCAGCCGCAGCCGCAGCUGGGCGGUCACGCGCCCCCGUAGGCCCCUCACGGCCGCCGGCCACCGCGACCUCAUGCGCAGGCGACGGACGCGAAGCCCCCUGCUGGCCGAGCCGAGCGCCGCGCCACGCUGGGCCAUGCCCGCGGCCCCCAUCCCGAGGCAGAGCCCGCCCCCUGCCCCGUCCACACAGGGCCCAUUGCCGGGCCGCGGCUCUGACUCUUCCAGUUCGGGGCUUUUUCCAGACUCGCUCCUGCGGGAGUCUGGACCCGAACCUGCCCGCCCCGCAUCCUCCGCUCCCACCAGAGAGAAUUUGUAGGGUCCCCAGCAGGCCUCAGCGCAGUGGGAAGAUACGCCUGCCCAAUAUGGCCGCCCCCGAAGCAAAACUGUGACGUGGACGCCGCCAUCUUGUCCCUGGGCCUGAGCGGGCGGAGGACGCCAUGUUUGUUACUGGCGGCGGCCGGGCUGGAGGGCUCUGUCUGGCUAAGUUCAAGUUGCCUCGUGAAUGUUGGGACCUUGAUUCCACUGUUUAGUGCCUUUGUGACCUUGGGCAAGUUUCUUCAGCUCUCUGCCUCUCUAUUGAGAGAUUUGAAUGAGUUAAUACAAGUGCAUGGCAUCGAGUAAUUGCUCAACAAAUGUUGGCUAGAGUCCUGGAUGUGAAAAUACCCUCAAAGCUGCCUCCUUAACAGAUGACUACAGAAUCUGAGAUGACAUUAAGAAUCUAGUGGAACAAACAAGAAGGCGUCAGUGAGUUUCUAAAACUAGAACUGCCGUGAGGACAGCUCUACUUUCCCUCCCUCUCUCUCCUUCUGGACACCCUUUUGCUGACCCUCUCACUCCAGAGCAACACUUCAGGACCGAGGACUACACCAAUUGCUACUAGGGGCCAGAAUAUCAAGAUGAAAGACGUCUGUCUGGACUAAACAGACAAAUCAGCUGUCUCACCUCAAUGAUAUACUUCUCCAAGGACUUGAUAUCAUUAAGAGCCUCCGGAUCUUGAUGGAUGACCACAAUUUCCUUCAAAGGGUACUAGGAGGA